rnacentral:rRNA from 1 species
CAAUAGCGUAUAUUAAAGUUGUUGCAGUUAAAAAGCUCGUAGUUGGAUUUCUGGUGGGAGCGAUCGGUCUGGCGCUUAGCGCGAGUACUUGCAUCGUCUCCGGCCAUCCUUGGGGAGAGUCUGUCUGGCAUUAGGUUGUCGGGCAGAGGAUCCUCAUCGUUUACUGUGAAAAAAUUAGAGUGUUCAAAGCAGGCUUAUGCCGUUGAAUAUAUUAGCAUGGAAUAAUAAGAUAGGACUUUGGUACUAUUUUGUUGGUUUGCGCACCAAAGUAAUGAUUAAUAGGGACAGUUGGGGGUAUUCGUAUUCCGUUGUCAGAGGUGAAAUACUUGGAUUUACGGAAGACGAACUACUGCGAAAGCAUUUACCAAGGAUGUUUUCAUUAA